rnacentral:rRNA from 1 species
CCUUUGUACACACCGCCCGUCGCUACUACCGAUUGAAUGGUUCAGUGAGGCGUUGGGACUGGCCCAGGAAGGUCGGCAACGACCAUCCAAGGCCGGAAACUUCUCCAAACUCGAUCAUUUAGAGG